GUGUGUGUGUGUGUGCGCAAUUUUCUUCUUUUAGGUUAACUAAUUAGUUAAAUAAAUAAAUAAAUGAGAAAAUAAAUAAAUAAAUAAAUGAGAAAAUAGGUAAAAGUAAUAAUAAGAAAAUUUGAAAGUAAAUAAAUAUAUAAAUAAAAAUAUAGGAAUAUUUAUGAGGUGGGGGAGCAGAAGGGGGGGUGGGUAAGCAAGAUUAGGUGUGCUGGUAGAAGUAGGGGGUGAAGGGGCGGGUGAGGAAGCUGUAUGGAUGACCACAAUAGGGGGGACGGGUUGGGGUAGGAUGUGGGUGAUAUAUAAUUUGCUAAUAUUUGAACCCUUUACAUACCGACAUGCAUACUGACACAUUUCUCUCAGACAGAUAAGCCUGGCUGGUGAGAGAGAGAGGGAGUGGGGGGUCUGUUUCAUUUAUGUAAGUGUUUGAGGUGACGAGGUUGUCUGGCCAGCCUUGACCCAGUACAUGUGAUAGGCUUAUUGGAAUUCAUCAUUGUUCUUGCAUUGUAAUCGUUAUUGUGUGUGUGUGUGUGUGUGUUUGUUAUUAGUGUACUUUAAAUUGUAGAUGGUGUAUUAUUGAAUUAACAUAAAGUUAACAUGAAUUAACAUAAAGCACAAUUUUAUUAGUAUUUUUUGUUUAUUUGUUUUAACCAAGACUUUAGUGUACAAGUUUUUGGUAAAUAAAUUGUUAUUAACAUUACUUACUGUUUUGAAACCUUUCUACUGUAGGAGUUUAAGUCACAGGAAGAAGUAAAGAGACAUUGGUGUAAAUAUUGGAUUGCAUUAGAAAAAAAAAAUAAUAAUUUUCCUCCCAAAGGUGAACAGUACUUAUGGAGGCCUGAAUGGUGGUGAGUCCAUUCCAGACUAUUCCAGUCACCCACCACUCUUUGACAACUAAUUCCUCCUUACUUACUAAUUCCUUCUUACUUACUACUACUACUACUACGACUACUACAGCUGGCCACACACAUUUAAAGCCAUUUUUUUAAAUUUUUACAAAGUUUAGACAUAGACAGAUAAAAGAAUUUGUUUGUUGAAUGCCUAAUUGCUUCAUUUCUGGUAUUUUAAUAUAUUUUUUAAUUGUUAGGGUGUUCAAGGUGUUUUUUCAUAAUAUUAGUGAUAGUUUUGUAGGCUUUGCUUAUUUAUGUCUGAUUUUUUAUCUAUUAAUCUCUCAGUGUACCCAUUUAUCUAAGUAUCUGCUGGACCUAACUUAACUAGGCCUAUCUGUUUUUCUCUCAAUGUCGAUCUAUUUACCUAAUCUAACCAUCUAUCUCUCAGUCUAUUUAACUUUCUGUUUAACCAUUUAUCUAUGUCUCUAUCUCAAUCUAUGUAACUAAGUACCUACCUAAUCUAACCAUCUCUAUCUCUCUCUCUCAGAAUGUGGAUGAGGGGACAAGAGAGCCAGUGUUCCAAGUACCACCACCAUCACCACUGCCACCACCACCACCACCAUCAGGAGCACAGAUUCACUGAAGUCUCUACCAAGAUUUCUUUGAGUUUUUUGAUAAAUUUAACUUCCAGGAGAGAGAGAGAGAUGCUGAUUGUUAAAGGCAGUGUGUGAAGCCUGCCCACUGUCUUUGUAUAUACAGAAGGUGGAAUUUGAGUCGGCCAAGCCUCAGAAAUGCAGGAAGGAUUAGCGGUGAUGACUGCAGGCUGCCAUCGACCCGCAGGUGUGAUGGUGCCCGACCAGCUGGUACACAUCAGUGAGAUGGUGGUGGUGCUGGAAAACAGCUGGUUUGCCAAGGGCAGCGCCAGGCAGGCUGCCUGCCCACACAGUCACCAGAAGGAUCACAGGUUCCAUUCACAGGUAAAGCCUCAUCAGACACAACACAGAGUGCAGCUUCUUCUGAGAUACCAGUGGUCUGAAGUGAAGCUGCAAGAAGUUUUCCCAGCACAGAUCUUCACUUACAUUUCUGUUGCCAGCACAUCUCCCGUCAGGUCUUGGGAGCACCGGGUGUUGUUCGGCAGGAAGGAGGCCAGGUUGUUAGGGCACGGCCUCACCCCACUGUCGCACACACCCACAGGCAUGAGGGGUGCCAGCCAGCAGGCCACGUCCCCAACACAGCUCCCACCUGCAUCCUGACCUCAUUCAGCAUCAACACCAGCCACACAGAAAAGUGAUGCUCCUGCAACAGCUGACGUUUACCUUUGCCAGUCACCUCGUCCAUGCUGAACUGCUCCACCAGCACCUUUGAAGCAGCUGUCCUACAUCCUCCUGGAAGCAACAGCAUACAGUCAUCACAGGAAUCAAAUGCAGCAUCAGUAUGGCUCACCAAACACUUCCCCUCACACUGGUGGUGUUGACCUGCCUUGUGAACACCUGAUCUCCUGUGCUCCUGUCCUUCACAGCUCUCCAGGUGACAUCAGCUGAGUGCAGCUGUCGGUGACUGCAGGAAUGGACCUCAGAUGGUGGAUACAGCAUUACCAAGUCAAGAAGGAGACACUGUGAUGUGGCUGCAGGUGGAUAGAUACCAGGAUAUGUGACCACCACCACCACCACCACCACCACCAUUGGAGAUGCCCCUCUGUAGUUGCACAUUACGGCCCUGUUGUGUACCCUGGUGGCCUUCAUAGUUGACCGGCAUACCCUUGGCCUCCAUGUCCAUCCAGCAGGAGGAAGAUGUUCUGGACACCUGGUUCUCCUCUUGCCUGUUUCCUUUUGCCUCGCUGGGCUGGCCAGGUCUGGGGAGGAGAGAGACCAUGCCUGACCUUGCUCGCUUCUACCCAACGACCUUGGUGGAGACGAGUCACGACAUCCUCUUCUUCUGGGUGAUUCAGAUGGUCAUGCUGGGACUCAACCUGACGGGGAGGCUUCCCUUUGAGGCCCCAGAGAACAGAUCAACCAAGUUACGUCCUUCAUUGAUGGGUCGGUGAUCUACGGGUCCAGCAAGGAGGAGAGUGACGAGCUGCGUGCCUUCUCUGUCGGCUUCCUCAAGGUGCAGCGCUGCCCGGCAGACACCCAGAUUCUUACGGCCGACACCAACCAAAUUGACUGCAAGACCUCAGGAAGAUUCAAGUAUGUGUUUGUGUGAUAGAUGAGUGCAUUAGUUAGUGAAAGGAUUAUUCAGAGCCUUACACUGAUGUAUUUGAGGUGAACAUGACAACCAGAUUGACUGCAAGACCUCAGGAAGCUUCAGUAAACUUCUAACAUUACUCAUUGGCUUGUCUAAUUAACUUUGGUCAAUAUCUACUUCCAGACCAAGCAUUAACAAACCAUCAUCUCUCACAGGUGUUUCAAAUCGGUCUGGCCGCAAUGCACCAGCCGUUCGUCAGGGAGCACAACCGCAUUGCCGUCUUGCUUUCGGACCUCAAUGCCCACUGGACUGACGAGCAAGUGUUCCAAGCGGUGCGCAGGAUUGUGGGAGCAACUCUGCAGCACAUCACCUACACUGAGUUCCUCCCCUCUAUUCUUGGCCAGGUAUUCUAAUAUAAUAGUUAAAACCAUCAACAGGAUCAGGAAGAGGGAGAUGAAGUGAGGAGAGAGGAGAGGAGGCAGGAGAUAGUGGUCAAGAGCCUCAGGUGUGGGCCGGACACUCAUCCUAACCUCCUCCUUGCCUCCUCCUCACAUCCAUCCCAAUAUCACUGUUCUCUUUCUUCAUAUCUCUUCAUU